rnacentral:rRNA from 1 species
ACGGGAGGCAGCAGUGGGGGAUAUUGCACAAUGGGGGAAACCCUGAUGCAGCGACGCCGCGUGAGCGAAGAAGUAUUUCGGUAUGUAAAGCUCUAUCAGCAGGGAAGAAAAUGACGGUACCUGACUAAGAAGCCCCGGCUAACUACGUGCCAGCAGCCGCGGUAAUACGUAGGGGGCAAGCGUUAUCCGGAUUUACUGGGUGUAAAGGGAGCGCAGACGGCGAGGCAAGUCUGAUGUGAAAGCUCGGGGCUCAACCCCGGAACUGCAUUGGAAACUGUUUUGCUAGAGUGUCGGAGAGGUAAGCGGAAUUCCUAGUGUAGCGGUGAAAUGCGUAGAUAUUAGGAGGAACACCAGUGGCGAAGGCGGCUUACUGGACGAUAACUGACGUUCAUGCUCGAAAGCGUGGGGAGCAAACAGGAUUAGAUACCCUGGUA